rnacentral:tRNA from 1 species
GCCGAUGUAGCUCAGCGGCUAGAGCAACCGCCUUGUAAGCGGUAGGUCGUGGGUUCGAACCCCACCAUCGGCU